UGAGGGAAAGGCGAAAAGAACCCCGGCGAGGGGAGUGAAAAAGAACCUGAAACCGUGUACGUACAAGCAGUGGGAGCCCCACCACCAAAGCAUUUGCUGUACCGCGUUGACGGAGCGAAGCGACGUCAAACCGAUAAAACAGCAGUGUAAAGUGAGCCGCAGGGCGCUUUGCGCGACAGCGCAAAGGCAGGCGGUUUCGCGUAGCGAAAGCGAAUGCUUUGGGGUGGGGUGACUGCGUACCUUUUGUAUAAUGGGUCAGCGACUUAUAUUCUGUAGCAAGGUUAACCGAAUAGGGGAGCCGGAGG
rnacentral:rRNA from 2 species